AUGUGACAAACAGCAAACUGACAGAAAACAAGUGCAGUACACACGCACACACACACAACACUUGCAGCAAUGCAAUGCGCAUGCGUUGAAGGCGUGGAAAGUGAGAAAAAUUACACUUCACCGCUUACAUCUCUCGGGUGAAAUGAUAAAUGAACGGCUUAUGAUUUGUGAUAAAAAUGGAAUUAACAUGACACCGCAGCGCGAUUUGACAGUAGCGCUCAACGUUGACGACAACGUGCUUGCUGAUCAGCAUACCUGAAAAAACAUACAUCAAGGACUACUUCAAUGAUAUCUUCAAACUGAUCUGGUGUUUUCGGAAAGUUUUUGAAAGCAAGACUGAGCUUUGUUCACACAGCAUUGUCUCCGAGAUCCAUCAUGUGUGUGAUGUAUCACAGUCAAUGAGAUAUUCGAAAAUUUGGAAUAUGUGUUGAUCAGAGUGGAGUGAUUGCAUACAAGUACUAUGUUUAUAGAUAUCGUAUUUCAGUUAACUUUGCCCGCCCUGAUGCCGAAAUUUUGGAGAUUCUCAUCACAGAUUCCAUCUGCACAGUUGUGCAACAGUACAACACCGAGCAUACGAUAUUGACAAAUGCGAGUCUCGUUGUAUGUAUUAUGCAAUGUAGACAAGUAAACGUAUAUUGGCUCUCUAGCCAACUCGUCUGGUUCAGAUAGUUCCUGCACAUCGGCCAAAGCUUUUCAGGCUAUUAAAUUUAAGUGUGGCAUAAUGACGCGAAAGCGCAAAUUGAAGCGUAUACGUGGCUGGGGACGUGGCUAUGAGAUGGAAAAUGACACCGAAGAUAUGAAUAAAGAAUACAUCGAAACUUACUGAGCUGAUAUUUUGUGUCGUCGUAUCGAAACUGUUGUUACACACAUAUUCCCUGUGUGACAGUACUACAUUGAAAAUUAUGCCUAAGACUUUAUUUGUAUGCUAUAAAACUAAAUCUCUAAUAAUUUUCCUUUUAAUUUUUAACACUAGACUCUCUAUUUUGUAGUACCUACUAAUACCACUUUUACACCAAACCACUAUUCUCAAUCCUCUAUAUAUAAUAAUUAUUUAUAAUUAUGUAAAAGACAAUUUUGUAUUGCAAAUGUACUAUGCAGUUUUACCGCU